GGGUUGUGAGGUUAAGCGAAUAAGCGUACACGGUGGAUGCCUAGGCAAUCAGAGGCGAUGAAGGACGUGCUAAUCUGCGAAAAGCGUCGGUAAGGUGAUAUGAACCGUUAUACCCGACGAUAUCCGAAUGGGGAAACCCAGUAUCCAAUGGAUACUAUCAUUAACUGAAUCCAUAGGUUAAUGAGGCGAACCGGGAGAACUGAAACAUCUCAGUACCCCGAGGAAAAGAAAUCAACCGAGAUUCCCUAGUAGCGGCGAGCGAACGGGGAGCAGCCCAGAGUCUUAAUCAAUGGCAGUGUCAGGAGAACGGUCUGGAAAGUCCGGCAGUAAAGGGUGAUAGCCCCGUAUCUGAAGAUGCUGUUAUUGUGAACUCGACGAGUAGGGCGGGACACGUGUUAUCCUGUCUGAAUAUGGGGGGACCAUCCUCCAAGGCUAAAUACUCCUGAUUGACCGAUAGUGAACCAGUACCGUGAGGGAAAGGCGAAAAGAACCCCGGCGAGGGGAGUGAAAAAGAACCUGAAACCGUGUACGUACAAGCAGUAGGAGCCUCUUUAUGGGGUGACUGCGUACCUUUUGUAUAAUGGGUCAGCGACUUAUAUUCUGUAGCAAGGUUAACCGCAUAGGGGAGCCGUAGGGAAACCGAGUCUUAACUGGGCGAAUGAGUUGCAGGGUAUAGACCCGAAACCCGGUGAUCUAUCCAUGGGCAGGUUGAAGGUUGGGUAACACUAACUGGAGGACCGAACCGACUAAUGUUGAAAAAUUAGCGGAUGACUUGUGGAUGGGGGUGAAAGGCCAAUCAAACCGGGAGAUAGCUGGUUCUCCCCGAAAGCUAUUUAGGUAGCGCCUCGUGAACUCAUCUUCGGGGGUAGAGCACUGUUUCGACUAGGGGGUCAUCCCGACUUACCAACUCGAUGCAAACUGCGAAUACCGAAGAAUGUUAUCACGGGAGACACACGGCGGGUGCUAACGUCCGUCGUGAAGAGGGAAACAACCCAGACCGCCAGCUAAGGUCCCAAAGUCAUGGUUAAGUGGGAAACGAAGUGGGAAGGCUCAGACAGCCAGGAUGUUGGCUUAGAAGCAGCCAUCAUUUAAAGAAAGCGUAAUAGCUCACUGGUCGAGUCGGCCCGCGCGGAAGAUGUAACGGGGCUAAACCAUGCACCGAAGCUGCGGCAGCGACACAAUGUGUUGUUGGGUAGGGGAGCGUUCUGUAAGCCUGCGAAGGUGUACUGUGAGGUAUGCUGGAGGUAUCAGAAGUGCGAAUGCUGACAUAAGUAACGAUAAUGCGGGUGAAAAACCCGCACGCCGGAAGACCAAGGGUUCCUGUCCAACGUUAAUCGGGGCAGGGUGAGUCGACCCCUAAGGCGAGGCUGAAAAGCGUAGUCGAUGGGAAACGGGUUAAUAUUCCCGUACUGGUGGUAACUGCGAUGGGGGAACGGAGAAGGCUAGGUUGUCCGGGCGACGGUUGUCCCGGUUCAAGCAGGUAGGCAGAGUGAUUAGGCAAAUCCGGUCACUUAAUGCUGAGAUGUGAUGACGAACCACUAAGGUGGUGAAGCAAUUGAUGCCCCGCUUCCAGGAAAAGCCUCUAAGCUUCAGGUUACCAACAAUCGUACCCCAAACCGACACAGGUGGUCAGGUAGAGAAUACUCAGGCGCUUGAGAGAACUCGGGUGAAGGAACUAGGCAAAAUGGUGCCGUAACUUCGGGAGAAGGCACGCUGGCGGUAGGUAAAGUCCCUUGCGGACGGCGCUGAAGCCAGUCGAAGAUACCAGCUGGCUGCAACUGUUUAUUAAAAACACAGCACUGUGCAAACACGAAAGUGGACGUAUACGGUGUGACGCCUGCCCGGUGCUGGAAGGUUAAUUGAUGGGGUCAGCCGCAAGGCGAAGCUCCUGAUCGAAGCCCCAGUAAACGGCGGCCGUAACUAUAACGGUCCUAAGGUAGCGAAAUUCCUUGUCGGGUAAGUUCCGACCUGCACGAAUGGCGUAAUGAUGGCCAGGCUGUCUCCACCCGAGACUCAGUGAAAUUGAACUCGCUGUGAAGAUGCAGUGUACCCGCGGCAAGACGGAAAGACCCCGUGAACCUUUACUAUAGCUUGACACUGAACAUUGAGCCUUGAUGUGUAGGAUAGGUGGGAGGCUUUGAAGUGUGGACGCCAGUCUGCAUGGAGCCAACCUUGAAAUACCACCCUUUAACGUUUGAUGUUCUAACCUAGGCCCGUGACCCGGGUCGGGGACCGUGUCUGGUGGGUAGUUUGACUGGGGCGGUCUCCUCCUAAAGAGUAACGGAGGAGCACGAAGGUUGGCUAAGCAUGGUCGGACAUCAUGCGGUUAGUGCAAAGGCAUAAGCCAGCUUGACUGCGAGAGUGACGGCUCGAGCAGGUACGAAAGUAGGUCUUAGUGAUCCGGUGGUUCUGAAUGGAAGGGCCAUCGCUCAACGGAUAAAAGGUACUCCGGGGAUAACAGGCUGAUACCGCCCAAGAGUUCAUAUCGACGGCGGUGUUUGGCACCUCGAUGUCGGCUCAUCACAUCCUGGGGCUGAAGUAGGUCCCAAGGGUAUGGCUGUUCGCCAUUUAAAGUGGUACGCGAGCUGGGUUUAGAACGUCGUGAGACAGUUCGGUCCCUAUCUGCCGUGGGCGUUGGAAGAUUGAGAGGGGUUGCUCCUAGUACGAGAGGACCGGAGUGAACGCACCACUGGUGUUCGGGUUGUCAUGCCAAUGGCAUUGCCCGGUAGCUAAGUGCGGAAGAGAUAACCGCUGAAAGCAUCUAAGCGGGAAACUUGCCUCGAGAUGAGUCUUCCCUGUCGCUUAAAGCGACCUAAAGGAACGUUUAAGACGAAGACGUUGAUAGGCUGGGUGUGUAAGCGUAGCGAUACGUUGAGCUAACCAGUACUAAUGAACCGUGAGGCUUAACCUGACAACACCGAAAGUGUUUUG
rnacentral:rRNA from 1 species